rnacentral:rRNA from 1 species
UACGAAGGGUGCUAGCGUUGUUCGGAAUCACUGGGCGUAAAGCGUGCGUAGGCGGCUUUACAAGUCAGAGGUGAAAUGCCAAGGCUUAACCUUGGAACUGCCUUUGAAACUGUAAAGCUGGAGUGUCGGAGGGGAUAGCGGAAUUUCUAAUGUAGCGGUGAAAUGCGUAGAUAUUGGGAAGAACACCGGUGGCGAAGGCGGCUCACUGGCUCGUAUCUGACGCUCAGGCGCGACAGCGUGGGGAUCAAACAGG